UCGAGGCAAGUCUUGCCAAAAACCUCAUUUACCAGGGCGGUCCCUGGUUCCUGUUUGCCUAAAACCAAAGCCGCAGGCUCUUCAAAAGAACCUAGCAAACCCAGAUAGAAAGCCGGAGACGGUGAAAAAAAUAUCAGAAGUGGUGGAACACGUGUUUGUGUCUCCGUUCCGUUCUGAGAGCGUUUAGCAGAGAACUGUAGACUGACCCAGCCAGAAGAAACUUCUAAUGUUUUUUAGUCCAGCUGGAUUUUAAUCACUUACAAUAAUGACAUAAUACGUAAGUUAUACGGUUUUUACAUGACUUGCCCGUGUUUUAUAUUGUUGGGAGUGAUGCAGCUAAGGCUCUUGCCUAAGGUCAAACUGCUGGUUCCUGGCUGAGCUGGGGCGAGGAGCAGCUCCCUCGGUACUCAGCCUGGGCUUAAUCUGCUGUUUGUCAUUCCUGGCACUGGCGUGGACAAGUCAGCUUGUUCCAAAAUCUUUUGUCUAUAGUAAAGAGAGAUCUUUAUUAAGAUUUGUUUGUUCCCGUUAAAUCAUAAAUCCGUCCAGGCGGGUCACUAUGUGACUGGCGCCCUCUGCAGUUGUGCAGUGUGCAACCUGUGAGACUGAACUUGGCAGUCCUGCUUCUGGGUUAAUUCAUCCCUCCAGCACAUGGAAUGAUGCCCCUGGGGGUAAUUUAUGCCUUUGCUCCUCAGACUGUGCAUAAUCCAGUGUAACUGAGCCUAUUUGUGUUGAAAGAAACCAGCAAGAAGGCCAAAAAGAAAGGGCCUCCCACUCCUGGACACCCUGGCUGCUGGAGGAGGCCAGUGUGCUCUUAGGAGGCCGGGCUGGGUGGCUGUGGGCAUGUGGGCAGGGGACCAGGUCCUUAGUGGGGCAGACAGGAGGGCGUUGCUGGGGGCUCUGCUGGGGGCGGAGCCAUGAGGCCCAGGUUUCUUCCUGAGGCAGCUAGAGAAGGAAGGACAUCAGUUGUUAUUUCUGCCUUGACUCAGAGGUGACGUUGUGAGAAUUUAUGAGCUUUUCUCCCUCCGGCUCCAUUUCCUUAUCUGUUACAAAAUGGGCAGAGCGUGCCUGGCCCACGCCUGCUCUUAAGGAUAGAAAGAGUGAAAAAGGGCUGGGUUUUGUGAAAUAUGGCUGGGGCACAGCACGGUGUCACGACACCUGGGGUGGCACGGUGCCCAGGCGUUUCCGUGGGACAGGAGCCCCAGGAGCCUGUCUCGGCCAGGAGCUUGGGGGCAGCACCAUGCGCCCGUCUCCACGCCACGCGCUCUGUAGUGAGCACUGCAUUCUUCGUGCCAAGAAGGAAAUAUCCUGCCCGUCGUGAUGUCUUUUGGAGUAAGAGGGCCCUGAGUUAGCAUGUUUUUUUUAAACAGCUUCAUUGAGGUAUAACUGACACAGGAAACUGCUCAGAUUUAAAGUGGACAACUUGGUAGGUUUUCACCUAUGAAUACACAGGUGAAACCGUCACCCCGAAUAAGAUCAUGAACACAACCAUCACCUCCAUCACCAGUCUCCUCGUGCCUCCCGCGCCCCAAGCCCAGGUUAGUGUAAAGAUGCUUUCGAUCCUAAGAUGCAUCGUGACCUCAGGGAUCAAAGCAAGAACCCGGGCCCAGGUUGGAGUUCCGUCUGUGCUGCUCUGCUGUGUGAUCUCGGGCAAGUUCCCUCACCUCUGUCAGCCCUAGUUUUCCUAUUUGUGAAAUGAGGAUAGCGAUAAUAGCCCCUUAAGUUUGCUGUGAAAACGAAAUAAGUUAAUUUAUGUAAAGUGCCCGGCACGGGUGGGCACUCAAGAAAUGGCGUCUGCUUUCCCUGUAUUGGGUUUGAAAUGCAGAGAUGGCUGUCAGAAAUAUACAUUCUCACCUCCUCGGGUCUUGGUAUCUAUCAUCCUACCAUCUACUGUUUGACUAGACUAUCAUCGUGGGGCCGAGAACUGAAGAACCCACUCUGCCCUGAGCUAACUCUGUGUCUAGUACUGACUGUCUGUGCUGCUCCUCCCACCUAGAAUUCAUCUCCCCUCUUUGGAACCCAGCAUUCAAGGACUCAAUCAGGCCUCACCACCUCUGGGAAGCCUCCCCUGAUUACUCUAAUCUAGGACUCUAGAUGCUAAGGUUUUCUCUCCUUUCCAAACCCCAAUACUAUUU
ensembl:lncRNA